UAGCUCAGCUGGCAGAGUGCUUGCCUUGUAAGCACAAGGCCCUGGGUUCAAUCCCCAG
rfam:Ictidomys tridecemlineatus contig015008, whole genome shotgun sequence.